rnacentral:rRNA from 1 species
CCCUACGGGGUGCAGCAGGCGCGAAAACUUUACAAUGCGGGAAACCGUGAUAAGGGGACACCGAGUGCCAGCAUCAUAUGCUGGCUGUCCGGGUGUGUAAAAUACACCUGGUUAGCAAGGGCCGGGCAAGACCGGUGCCAGCCGCCGCGGUAACACCGGCGGCCCGAGUGGUGAUCGUGAUUAUUGGGUCUAAAGGGUCCGUAGCCGGUUUGGUCAGUCCUCCGGGAAAUCUGACGGCUCAACCGUUAGGCUUUCGGGGGAUACUGCCAGGCUUGGAACCGGGAGAGGUAAGAGGUACUACAGGGGUAGGAGUGAAUCCCUGUAAUC